ACAUUCUGUAGGUCUCUGUAGCACCCUCUUCUCCAUGACAGUGAGGUCAUGCCAGGAGGAAAUGACUUCUUCCAGACACCAGUCCAGAUGUGUCAGACUACCAAACCAGGACUAGAGGGAGGUCCUCCCAGAAUCCAGAAGGGGAGAGCACUAGAUCCCCUGGAGCCGGAGUUACAGAUGGUCAUGAGCUACCUGAUACGGAUGCUGGGAACUAAUCUUGGGUUCACUGAAAAAGGACCUUGAAAAUCCUACUUCAUCAUAGAAUCUACGAGAAAUGAUUUAGCUGUUCACCAGAGUCUGGCUACUGGCCUGUGUGUCUGAGCAGACCACCUGCUGGAGAGCUUGCUCAGCUCCUCAGAGGGCUGAGAGUUUAUGGAAGGAACAUCAUCAAGGCCCAAGUUGGAGGCCCAGUGAGCUGCUGAUGUCAUCAGUUCCAGUGUGAAGGUUGAAUUCAAGGCCAUCCAGUGGUGUAAACCCCAGUCGGAGGCAAGCCACCACACCCCAGCUGGAGCAGGCAGUAGGACAGAAGGAAGCAUAGAUUUAGCCUUCCUCCACCCUUUGUUCUGGCUGGGGCCCUGGAUGUCACAGGUGAUGCUGUCCACACUGGGGAGGGCUCUGCCUCACCCAGCCUGACUGUCCCCAAAACAGUCAGCCUCAGACAUAAUGGGAAGCAACAUUCAUGUGGGCUUCCUGAGGCUUAGCUAACUAUGACAUUAACCCUCACAGAAUCUGUGCCCCAUACAUACAUACAGUGCAUGCUGGCUGUCCCUGCCAGGCACCGUGUUGUCCUAAUAAGGCUGACAGUGGCCUUGGGCCUUCAGGGCCCAUGAGGCAGGGGUGGGCAGAUGUAGCCAGUACGGAGCUGAGCGCAGUCUGAGCCACUGCAGAGUUGGCCUGUAUAGGGCAUUGCUGGGCCAUCCAUCUUGCUAAUCAGGUCACCCUGGCAGCCUCAAGUUGUCAGGGAUGUCUGGCUGUGUCCCCAGUCAGAUUGGUUGCCAUAUGCUAUUCUGUUCCCUAAAGCAUCUUGGCCAGAGGGUGAUGGUGAGGGUUGGACCCCAAGCUCAGAGCAGAGGCCUGCUAGAGAGGAGGCUGGGACCUAAUUCUGGGCUUCAAAUGUCCUUAAACAUAGCAAGAGAGCAUUUUCUGAACCAUGUGGCACCAGGACCCUGUCUUGCCACACAAGGCAACACAGGCAAAGUCUAUUCCUGAGAUGGCAGCGGGGAGGCAGUCCUGGGUCUCCUCCAAAGCAUUACACAGGGCAGACUCAGAAAUUCCUAUAGAACCCGGCAGGUGCACUCUUCCUCAGCAAACUGAGGCCUGCGGUUUGACAUCCAACCACCAAGGCUCAGGUGUAGUGGGUAGCCAUUCCAGCUUUGAUCUGGAAGUUCCAACCCCCAUUGAGACUUCAGCAACUGUCACGCCUACAAGGCGGAGCCAAGGGAGGCACCUGGAGACCUGAGAUCUGGAUGGGCUGUGCUCUCACUCGGUUCUGGGACCUUGGACGGUGAAGGUGGGCCAAGCAGAGCUCCAGAGAACACUGCCGGACUGCGAUACACCUUCC